rnacentral:ncRNA from 2 species
ACCUCAUCGAGAUGGGCAGAGGGACUGGCCCGAUGAAGCCCGGCAACCGCCUGAUGGUAGCCAAUAUCUACCAUAUCCAGUACGGUGCUAAUUCCUGCGCUGGGCUUAUGUAUGCCCAUCGAAAGAUGAGAG